AGAAAAAUGACACGAUCAAAAUGGGAGCAAGCAAGAUGAAUGGAGUUUCAAGAUCUGAAAAGACCUUGAGAAUUAGUUCUCUUAAGAAUAAUGUACUCAUUAUGACCAAAAGGAGACAUGCUAAUCACUGGAGUUCACUACCCUGGAACUACUGCUGGCUGGAGAGAAGAAUGCCUGGCGCUCCACCAGUGAGUAAUAACUUAGCCAAAGAAUGAAAUAGUCGGAGGCCUUGGAUUAACCUAUUGUCUUGCUGUGAGGGGUGGGGGUA